CAACCCUGCAGCCUUUAGAGCGUUCUGAACUUCCCAGGCCAAUAACAACCUACCCACGCCUCACCUACCAAGUCGAUCCAACUUUUUCCGAAAAAAAAAAAAAAAGCCAAAAAAACUGGAGCAACCCAAAGCGGAAAAGAGAAUUAAGCCAAGCCUUUCCUCCAUCCAGGCAGCUAUCGUUAGCCAGGAUGAAAGUUGUCCAAACAGUGCAGAGCACAGCAGCUGGCAGUCUGAGCACAGCAACAGAACUGGAGACUAUUCUUGAAUCUCAGACACCGUCUUGCAAAUCCAACACAAACCAACUUCCCAAUUCAGCAGUGUGGGAGAUGGCAGAGAAAUCAUCUCAAGUCCCAUCUGUUUGUAUACAGCAUUCUGGAGAUCCUUGAGUGAGCAGAACAGCCACAGCACUCAAUCACCGACAUCAGAGACAACUCAACUUUCACUAAUUGGCUUUCCUAGGAGAUAUGGAGAUCUGCCCCCAUUUCAGAGACUGAAAUAAAAAACAUGCACAGA